rnacentral:lncRNA from 10 species
UGUAUUUAUAGCAGAUGCAUAAGCAUGACAAGAGCACAAAGGCUGGGAGAAAAUAAAAGCAAUCACAAUAUUGUAAGAUUCUUUUUUUUUUUUUCUUUUGAGAUGGAGUCUCGCUCUGUUGCCCAGGCUGGAGUGCAGUGGCACGACCUUGGCUCACUGCAACCUCCACCUCCUGGGUUCAAGUGAUUCUUCUGCCUCAGCCUCUCGAGCAGCUGGGAUUAGAAGUGUGUGCCACCAUGCCUGGCUAAUUUUUGUAUUUUUAGUAGAGACAGGGUUGUAGAGAUGGGGUUUUUGCCAUGUUGACCAGGCUAGUCUGGAACUCCUGACCCCAAGUGAUUCACCUGCCUCGGCCUCCGAAACUGCUGGGAUUACAGGCAUGAGCCACUGCCCCAGGCCAUAAGAUUCUUAUAUUGUCCAUUAAGUAUCAUAUUAUUAUUUGAAAGUAGAAUAGGACAAGUUAAAGUUACACAUUGUAAUCUUUGGAGCAGCCUUUUUCAUCCAGGGUUCCGGGAAAUGAUUAAGCCCCACAAAAAAUAUUUUCAGUGAUAUCUGCUCAGUUCUCCCAAGGAGAGCACACAGAUUCACAGGAGAGGAGUUAAUUCACUGCGGAUAUAAUGGAUGCCUAAGGGAGUUAGGGCUUAAUUCUCUCUAUAGAGCCUCAGCUGAGAAGGGCUGCUCUAGAGCAACCAUGUAACACUCCACCCCUCGCCACACACAUUCAAAAGUAUAACAAAAAAUUCAAUAAAACAGAUGAAAUGCUAAAAGAUUCCUGAUUCACACAAAAGAAAGUCAAAGAAGGAGAAACAAGGGGGAAAAAAACAAAUGGGACAUAUAGAAAAGAGACAUCUAGACAGUAGAUUGAAAUGCAAUCAUAUGAUUGCUGAUAGUUAAACAUAAAUGAACUAAACACUCCAAUUAAAAGGUAAAGAUUGGCUGGGAAUGGUGGCUGACACCUGUAAUUCCAGCACUUUAGGAGGCCGAGGUGGGUGGAUUAUCUGAGGUCAGGAGUUUGAGACCAACUUGACCAACAUGGUGAAACACUGUCUCUAUUAAAAAUACAAAAAUCAGGCCAGGCAUGGUGGCUCAUGCCUGUAAUUCCAGCACUUUGGGAGGCUGAGGCAGGUGGAUCACGAGGUCAAGAGAUCGAGGCCAUCCUGGCCAACAUGGUACAAUCCCAUCUCUACUAAAAAUACAGAAGUUAGCUGGGCAUGGUGGUGCACACCUGUAGUCCCAGCUACUCGGGAGGCUGAGGCAGGAGAAUCACUUGAAUCUGGGACACAGAGGUUGCAGUGAGCUGAGAUUGCGCCACUGCACUCUACCCUGGUGACAGAAUGAGACUCCGUCUCAAAAAACAAAACGAAACAAAAAUUAGUUGGGUAUAGUGGCGUGUGCCUGUAAUCCUAGCUACUCUGGAGGCUGAGGCAGGAGAAUUGCUUGAAUCCAGGAGGCAGAAGUUGCAGUGAGCCAAGAUCACACCAUUGCACUCCAACCUGGGCAACAAGAGCGAAAUUCCACCUCAAAAAAAAAAAGGUAAAGAUUGUCCAACUGGAUAAAAAGGCAAGACCCAAGUAUAUGCUGUUUAUAAGAAAAACAUUUUAAAUAUAAAGAUACCAAUGGGUUAAAUACAAAAGGGUAGAAAAGUUAUAGCAUGCAAAUAUUAACUGUAAAAAUCUGGUUUAACUAUUUUAAUAGAAAACAGGGAUUUCAAGCCAAAAAGUACUGAAGUCACUUCAUUAUAAUGAGUCAAUUCAUCAAGAAAGCAUAACAAUCCUAAAUGUGUGCCUAAUAAAAAUUUCAAAAUACAGGAAGCAAAAAACUGAGAAUUAUAGGGAGAAAUAGGCAAAUCUACAAGUAUAGUCGGAGCUUUUAACAGCCCCCUCAAUAAAUGAUUGAGCAAUUAGAAAAAAUAGGCUAUAAAAGAUUUUUAACAGCAGUCUCAACCAUCUUGAACUAAUUGACAUUUAUAGAGCCCUAUGACUAACGACUGCAAAAUACACACUAUUUUCCAGUACAUACUGCAUGUUUGCCAAGACAGAUCUAAAAAUAGCCCCAAUGGAAUCAUCCAGAGUGUGUUGUCUGACCAAAUUAGAAAUCAGUAACAGUAACAUCUAGAAGUCCCCAAAUAUUUGGGAGUUAAACAAUACCCUUCUCAAUAAUCUAUGGAUAAAAUCAGAAACCAUAAAGAAAAUUAGAAAACAAUUCUAACUCAAUGAUAAUGAAAAUACGACGUAUUAAAAUUCACGGGACGCAGCUAACUUACUGCCUGGAAGGAAAUUUAGUUUUAAAUGCUUUGUGUGGAAGAAAAGAUGUAAAAUUAACAGCAUUAAUGUCCAUCUUCAGAAGCCAGAAGAAAGCAAAUUAAACCUCAAGCAUGCAUAGAGAAUAAUGAAUGAAAAAUCAAUGAAACAAAAGACAAUCAAUAGAGAAAUUCAACAUGAACAAUGAAAACAUGUUCACAAAAAGACUUGUCCAAGAAGUUCAUAGCAGCUUAUACUUAUAAAAGCUACAAAGUAGAAAUAACCCAAAUGUCUCUCAAAAGAAGACUGCAUAAACAAGUCAUGGGCUGUUCAGACAAUGGAGGACUUGAGCUACCGAUAUACACAACAUCCAUGUAUGAAUCCCACACACAUUGUGCCACAUGAAAGAAGAGACACUAAACGCUGUAAGCCCAUAUGACAUUGAAAUGAAAUUCAAAACCAGGCAGAAUUAAUUUACAGUGGUGAAAAAUCAGAUCAGUGGUUGCCCCUGGGAUGGGAGUGAGGGCUGACUAGAAAGGGGUCAAAGGGAGCUUUCUGGUUGAUGGAAAUGUUCUGUAACUUGUUUGGGCAGUGGGCACAUAAAACUCUAAAAACUCAUCUAACAGGACACUUCAGAUUUGUGUAUUUU